rnacentral:lncRNA from 1 species
UUAUUGACGUUGUAGUCAAGGAUACCUCAAGAUCAUCUGGGAAACACAGCUGAUGCCUUGCAACAUAUUUUGUAAACCAAUGUUAUUUCCAGUAUUCCAGUCCCGUGGGAUUCAAAAUGGAUUUGUCGGCUCCACUUAAAAGCAAACACAGACAAAUAUGCACUUAAAAAUAUAGAUUUGUAAAAGGUUAUGAGUAAAUAAGCUCAGAUCAGGAGUAGUUGGUGUUUAUUGCAAGCCCUGAUGGAAACUAACAAGACACACAGGAUGUUGAGAGUGCCAUGUGACCAGAAACAGGUGGUACCCUCAUUUCUAUUCUGGGAACCAUGUACAGUAUUUAGGCACACAUUUGUCCACCAUUUCUUUCAACAUGCAGACCCACUUUCUUGUCAGCUGAACUGUACACUCAACAGAUACAGGUCAAGACUUAAAGCAUUACUGUAUCUUUAAUGUACAUUUUCGCUUUUAGUUGUUUCUGCAUGACGUCAAUCUGCAAUGUCUCUCUUUGGCCCAAAUGUGUGGCUGCACAGGAGUUACUGGCAACGCUGCAGGCUAUAACACAGCGCAGCGCACAUACAUGCACACAAAAGCAGUCAGCCUGAAUAAAAACAGGCGAAGGGCACGGGGGCAACGUGUGUAAACACCUCAGUUAAUGUGGUUUUGCUCAGUGUCUCCUUUGCUUUUGCCCUUAUGAUCUCUGCAGGCAGGAUUUGUGUAGACAGGGAGAAAUAACAGAUUAGAGGAAGGAUAGCAGAUUAGCUAUGAGGCAUAAAAUAACAAGAAAAGAGUUUUAAAAAAGAGGAAAAUCACAGUUUUUGCACCUCAUGCAGGUAAAUCUCCAUAAUCUUUAGACAGAAUUUGAAUGAGGUUAAAUGCAUAUGGUUACAGAUAUGGCAGCCAAAUAGGAGAGCGACAGAAAAGUGUGCAAAAUCCCCCUGUCCCUUUUCUUCUGGCAGUGUUGUGUCCUGGAGGCAGAGCUCCCACACAACAGACGGGACUCCCAUCACACAGCCUGCAGGGUGGAGCUGUCUCACUGUAAAAAAAUGCCGCCAGCAACACAGAGAGUCCAAUAACUCUGUUGCAGAGGAGCAAGCCGGUGCAGAACACUGCUGUUUUCCCAUUUUUGUAAAAAUUAGCGAAGAUGCCAUGUUGGGGGAAGUAGCCUGAAGGCUGAGAGAUGAGGCCUUGAAAACAGAAGGGGGCCUCACACUCUGAACAAGAUAGAAAAAUGUGUCUGUGGUGCAUUAUCAAGCCCGCAGGGAAAUUCCUUUUUUAUUUUAUCCAUUUCAGUGUGUCUCCUCACACGGACCCGGAUGACAGCUAAUGUGCUUUUUCUGGCAGUGUGUGUCACAACAAGUAUGUGUAUUAUUCACAGAUAAUGAGGGAAUCCUCAGUGGAAAGGCGCUCGCUGGAUUAAAGCAGCACCUGAUACCAAGUUCACCGGGUUUAUUAGUUUUCUAUUCUGCAGAAAAGAAAACAACCGACUCAAUCAAUACCUCCUGAACUGAACACGCCUGAGGGCUCAUUCCCUGAAAUGUGGACAAAAGAUAAAAACUGAUGACUUAAAAAAGAAAAAAAAGUGCCUUGCUGCGGGACUUAAUGAUCAGAUUUGACCUUAUGUUAAUUCCAAGAGCGCUGAUCAAAGGUCUGAGGUGAACUUUGUUUGUAGGAGCAGCAAAAAUCAGCCCAUCCCUAAACUAAAUUUGUACUCUUUUUUACUUUUUCUUUCAGCUGCAUCCAAUUUAAGCCUGCUACUCGCUUGCUUAUUAGCCAUGAGGUUUUCUUCUGUGCAACAAAAAAAAACUAACAAGGGUCUGAAUGUUUUACUGGCUUUUUGUAGGACUGCUAAGUUUAGGGUCAUUUCCCAGAAAAGCCAAGAAGCUUUUAGCUGUAGUAAAAUAAACAUAAAAAAUAAACAUGAUAAUAACAAUUUUCUUUUGGCUGCAUUUUAAUUAAAGGUGGGGUAGGAAGUGCCCGUUUUGGGGAGAAAUCUUGAAUGUAAACUCUACCCCUCCCAACCAGUUUUCCCCUCAGCUCCUCCUCUCCCCUCCCUCUCUGCUCCAGCAAGCCCCGCCCACAAACAGACGGUCCUGCUUAUUCCUAUUGUUUCAAUUAAAUUCAAAUGAAAUGCUGAUAAAUACUUCAGAUAAUUACAAAUGAAACCCAGUCAACGUAAAAGUGAAAAGCAUCGGGGCUACUGUAGAAGCCAACAGACUACCAGCAAACACAACGUUUGCAGGACUUCUACAACUAGGAUAAAGUGGCAUAGUCCAGGAACGGAGGUAAACAAUUCGGCGGCGAUACAACACACAGCAGACAAUGUGAAUUGUCGCGUGAAACAGAAUGUAGCCAAUCAAGAAGCGAGCUGACUGAGGAACAAGAGACCAAAUAAAGCGAAUAAAAAUAAAGCAUGUCCUACGGGAGUACGGGAUUUAGUACAGGAUUCUUCUGUCAAAACCACCAUCAUUCGCUCCUCUUGUGUGUGCUCUUCCAUGUUGCGUCUUGUGUUUCCCGAUUGUUGCUAUGUUUCUUCUUCUUCUUCACUUUUGUUAGAUCACGUUUUAUCACAUGAGAUUUCUGUCUUGGAGGACUAGAUUCUAGAUCGGUGUUGGAACAGACUCGUUUUGUGUGUUUUGUGCUGUGUUGAGAUUAUCGGAGCACACCACACAGAGGACGAUCAAAACUGUUCAAUGUGUGGUUUUUCAUCUUCAUGUGUGUGGUCUGUAACAGAUAAAAAAUCUCCUCAGAUUUAAAAAAUCCUUAUGUGUGUGCCCCGCUUUAGUUUCUUUCUUUAUGCAAACAAACUAGUGGAACAUCUUACGUCACUUUCACACCAGAGCUGUUUGGUCCGCUUGAAACGGACCAGAGUUCAUUUCCUUGGAUAGUCCGCUUCGUUUGGGCAGGUGUGAAAGCUCACCGGACCAAACACAGGACCAAAUGUACGUAAUGACGCUAUACGCAGUGCAUACGCAGUGCAUCUUGGGUAGAGGAAGCAUGGCGUCUCUUGUUGCUAUGGCAACAAGUGACCGCUGACGUUAGCAGUUGCUAGCUAGCUUAGCUCAAUUGUCUGAACAACAAUAACCCAUAAAUUCACAAUUUGGCGUAUUUAAACAAAAUCAAACCACAACUACCGACAGUCACAGUCCUUAAACUCUGAGCUCAUAUGUU